AGGGCUUCGACACGUCAUACAAUGGUCGGUACAGAGGGUUGCCAAACCGCGAGGUGGAGGCCAAUCCCUUAAAGCCGAAUCGUAGUCCGGAUCGUAGUCUGCAACUCGACUACGUGAAGUCGGAAUCGCUAGUAAUCGCAGAUCAGCAUGCUGCGGUGAAUACGUUCCCGGGUCUU
rnacentral:rRNA from 1 species